UGGCCUGUAGCUCAGUUUGGAUAGAGCGCCGCACUCCUAAUGCGGAUGUCGAGGGUUCAAAUCCUUCCAGGCCCG
rnacentral:tRNA from 1 species